UAUAAUAAAAUAUUUAGUAAAAAAAAAAAACAUUUAGUAAAACACAUUCACAAAUUAUUAUUGUUAUUAUUAUUAUUUUGACUCAAGGUUGUCAGUGGAGCACCUGUUAGAAGCUGGAGAUUUGAUCCGAAGUCUUGGUGAAUCAGAAAUCUUGAGAUGGCUGAGAGUUCAAGAGGAUGAAUACAGUGCUGAGAGUCCCAGAUGGUCACUUGACUUAUUCGGUCAUGGAGAUGUCUCUUUGUUAUUGAGCUCCUCGGAGGAGAAUCCAUUAUUUCCAGCAGUCUUAAACAUGAGUCUUACAUGUUCACAAUCAGAGAUAUCCAGCACUGACUGGACACUCUUCUUACAGAGACUCAGCAAGACAGGAAAAUUAGCAGAUGAGUGCUGCAUCUGAAGCUGGUCAGUCUGAAUAAGAGCUGGGCUUCUGGGAUCAUUUCACUCGUCCAGGCCUACACCAGUCUACAGCAGCUCAUCUUUGCCUCAACACCCAC